AUUGAACGCUGGCGGCAUGCCUUACACAUGCAAGUCGAACGGCAGCACGGGUGCUUGCACCUGGUGGCGAGUGGCGAACGGGUGAGUAAUACAUCGGAACAUGUCCUGUAGUGGGGGAUAGCCCGGCGAAAGCCGGAUUAAUACCGCAUACGAUCUACGGCUGAAAGCGGGGGACCUUCGGGCCUCGCGCUUUCGGGUUGGCCGAUGGCUGAUUAGCUAGUUGGUGGGGUAAAGGCCUACCAAGGCGACGAUCAGUAGCUGGUCUGAGAGGACGACCAGCCACACUGGGACUGAGACACGGCCCAGACUCCUACGGGAGGCAGCAGUGGGGAAUUUUGGACAAUGGGCGAAAGCCUGAUCCAGCAAUGCCGCGUGUGUGAAGAAGGCCUUCGGGUUGUAAAGCACUUUUGUCCGGAAAGAAAUCCUUGGCCCUAAUACGGUCGGGGGAUGACGGUACCGGAAGAAUAAGCACCGGCUAACUACGUG
rnacentral:rRNA from 1 species